rnacentral:rRNA from 1 species
AGAGUUUGAUCAUGGCUCAGGACGAACGCUGGCGGCAUGCCUAACACAUGCAAGUCGAACGGACUUUUCGGAAUUAGCUUGCUAAAGAAGAAAGGUUAGUGGCGGACGGGUGAGUAACGCGUGGGUAACCUGCCCAUAAGACUGGGAUAACACCGGGAAACCGGUGCUAAUACCGGAUACGUUCUUUAAACCGCAUGGUUUGAAGAAGAAAGGUGGCCUCUCGAAGAAGCUACCGUUUAUGGAUGGACCCGCGUCUGAUUAGCUAGUUGGUGAGGUAACGGCUCACCAAGGCGACGAUCAGUAGCCGGCCUGAGAGGGUGAACGGCCACACUGGGACUGAGACACGGCCCAGGCUCCUACGGGAGGCAGCAGUGGGGAAUCUUCCGCAAUGGGCGAAAGCCUGACGGAGCAAUGCCGCGUGAAUGAAGAAGGCCUUCGGGUUGUAAAAUUCUGUCCUAAGGGAAGAAUGUAUGAUAUGUGAACAAUGUAUCGUAAUGACGGUACUUUAGGAGGAAGCCCCGGCUAACUACGUGCCAGCAGCCGCGGUAAUACGUAGGGGGCAAGCGUUGUCCGGAAUUACUGGGCGUAAAGCGCGCGUAGGCGGAUAAUUAAGUCAGUUGUGAAAACUCUGGGCUCAACCGAGAGCAUGCAUCUGAAACUGGGUUAUCUUGAGUGUAGAAGAGGAGAGUGGUAUUCCUAGUGUAGCGGUGAAAUGCGUAG